CCUACGGGGGGCUGCAGUGGGGAAUCUUGCGCAAUGGGCGAAAGCCUGACGCAGCGACGCCGCGUGGAGGAUGAGGCCCUUCGGGGUGUAAACUCCUGUUGCCCGGGACGAACGCCGCCCAUCGGGGCGGGUGACGGUACCGGGUGAGGAAGCACCGGCUAACUCUGUGCCAGCAGCCGCGGUAAUACAGAGGGUGCGAGCGUUGUCCGGAAUUACUGGGCGUAAAGGGCGCGUAGGCGGCCCCAGUACGCGUGCCGUGAAAGCCCGGGGCUCAA
rnacentral:rRNA from 1 species